CCCACUUCCCUCAGCGCACGUAUACUCAAGGCAGUUUACUAUCCUGAUCGCAAGUUCCUGGAAGCCGAGCUGGGGAGCAAACCAUCCCAGGGCAUAAUUAAGAGGAUCGGUGCAGGAAGUGCAACGAACAUUUGGCAUGACAAUUGGAUACCCAGGGAUCACAAGUUGAGGCCGGUGUGUCCAAAGACCUCAUACCCUCCGCAGCCUGUAUCGGAUCUGAUUGACCAGAGCAAUGCUUGCUGGAAUAUUGCUGAACUUAAUAAAUACUUUUAUGCGAUGGACAUUGAGGCGAUUCUGAACAUUCCUUUGAGUACUCGAGUUCAAGAUGACUUCUGGGCCUGGCACUAUGAUAGGAGGGGAGUUUUUUCAGUUCGGUCUGCUUAUCGACUUCUAGCCUCGACGAAACAGCAGAGAAUGGAUUGGCUGGAGCAUAACCCGAACCACUCUCAUGGCGACGAGGACAAGAAAUCUUGGGGAAAACUGUGGAACCUGAGUAUCCCAUCCAAGAUUAAGGUGUUUGCUUGGCGUUUAGCCAGGACUUCGCUCCCAACUGGAGAUGUCCGGUGUGACAGGAAAAUGACAAAUACGCCGGCGUGUUCGAUAUGCAACGCGGCUACCGAUUCCUGGAGACACUCCUUAUUUGAUUGCCAUAUGUCCCGAUGUGUGUGGGCCUUAGCCGACGAGGAACUGACAGAAGUUGCUAUCUGA
rnacentral:rRNA from 1 species